rnacentral:rRNA from 1 species
CCUACGGGAGGCAGCAGUAGGGAAUCUUAGACAAUGGGGGCAACCCUGAUCUAGCCAUGCCGCGUGUGUGAUGAAGGCCCUAGGGUCGUAAAGCACUUUCGCCAGAGAUGAUAAUGACAGUAUCUGGUAAAGAAACCCCGGCUAACUCCGUGCCAGCAGCCGCGGUAAUACGGAGGGGGUUAGCGUUGUUCGGAAUUACUGGGCGUAAAGCGCACGUAGGCGGAUUGGAAAGUUGGGGGUGAAAUCCCGGGGCUCAACCCCGGAACUGCCUCCAAAACUAUCAGUCUAGAGUUCGAGAGAGGUGAGUGGAAUUCCAAGUGUAGAGGUGAAAUUCGUAGAUAUUUGGAGGAACACCAGUGGCGAAGGCGGCUCACUGGCUCGAUACUGACGCUGAGGUGCGAAAGUGUGGGGAGCAAACAGGAUUAGAUACCCUGGUAGUCCACGCCGUAAACGAUGUCAACUAGGUGUUGGGGAGGUUAAUCUUCUCAUUGCCGCAGCUAACGCAUUAAGUUGACCGCCUGGGGAGUACGGUCGCAAGAUUAAAACUCAAAGGAAUUGACGG